GGACUACCAGGGUAUCUAAUCCUGUUUGCUCCCCACGCUUUCGCACAUGAGCGUCAAUACCAGACCAGGCAGUCGCCUUCGCCACUGGUGUUCUUCCGAAUAUCUACGAAUUUCACCUCUACACUCGGAAUUCCACUGCCCUCUUCUGGAUUCAAGCGCGCCAGUCUUAAAAGCAAUUCCCAGGUUAAGCCCGGGGCUUUCACUUCUAAUUUAACGCGCCGCCUGCGUGCGCUUUACGCCCAGUAAUUCCGAACAACGCUAGCCCCCUUCGUAUUACCGCGGCUGCUGGCAC
rnacentral:rRNA from 1 species